rnacentral:lncRNA from 1 species
GUAGAUUUAUAUCAAGUUUGUGCAGAUCGAUCAUUCGGUGCCAGAAGAGUAGCGUUUUGAGUAUUUUUCACAAAAUUCUAAAUGGCGGGAGAAAUCCAUCGUGGCACGUGUGUUUCUUGUGAGGAGAAGGACCUAUGUACCGACUUCAUGACUUUAGAUCUAACGGGGUGCCUGGUGAUCUGGAGGACCUGAGCCUCAGGACUAUAUGGCCUGAUGACUCCUUGCUGUCCCCAGUCCACCUGGUCAUGCUGCUGCUCCAGUUUCAACUGUUCUGCCUGCGGCUAUGGAACCCUGACCUGUUCACCGGACGUGCUACCUGUCCCAGACCUGCUGUUUUCAACUCUCUAGAGACAGCAGGAGCGGUAGAGAUACUCUGAAUGAUCGGCUAUGAAAAGCCAACUGACAUUUACUCCUGAGGUGCUGACCUGUUGCACCCUCUACAACCACUGUGAUUAUUAUUAUUUGAUCCUGCUGGUCAUCUAUGAACAUUUGAACAUCUUGGCCAUGUUCUGUUAUAAUCUCCACCCGGCACAGCCAGAAGAGGACUGGCCACCCCUCAUAGCCUGGUUCCUCUCUAGGUUUCUUCCAAGGGAGUUUUUCCUAGCCACUGUGCUUCUACACCUGCAUAGCUUACUGUUUGGGGUUUUAGGCUGUGUUUCUGUACAGCACUUUGUGACAUCAGCUGAUGUAAGAAGGGCUUUAUAAAUACAUUUGAUUGAUUGACAAGGAGCAAAUUGAUUGCACAUGCCCUUUAGGCCAGUUAUGCCAUCAUACUGUAGGCCUAUGGCUGCAUUGGUGAUGCAUGCCAUUAUGAUAAGCUGUAAAAUGGGCUCACAUGGCAGAUAUGCUGAGACAGAGUGACAAUCAAAUAAAACCGAUUGGAGAGUUCACAAAUGGACAAAAAUUUAAUUUUCAUUUGAGAAAGCAACACAGAAACAUUAGAGACAGAUCCUCUUCACACCUUUUUUAAAUGUAUUUAUUUUAGUACUUUUCUCCCAAAUUUUGUGAUAUCCAAUUGGUAGUUACAGUCUUGUCCCAUCGCUGCAACUCCAGUACGGACUCGGGAAAGGCGAAGGUCGAGAGCCAUGCUUCCUCCGAAACACGACCCUGCCAAGCUGAACUGCUCCUUGACACUGCUCGCUUAACCCAGAAGCCAGCUGCAACAAUGUGUUGGAGGAAACACCGUACAAAUGGCAACCGAAAUCAGCUUGCAGGUGCCCGGCCUGCCACAAGGAGUCGCUAGAGCGCAACGGGACAAGGAAAUCCCGGCCGGCCAAACCCUCCCAUAACCCAGAUGACGCUGGGCCAAUUGUGCGCCGCCUCCUGGGUCUCCCAGUCACGGCCGGCUGUGACAGAGCCUGGGAUCGAACCCGUGGCUGUAGUGAUGCCUCAAGCACUGCGAUGCAGUGCCUUAAACCGCUGCGUCAUUCCUCUUCACACCUUUUUAUUGCAGAAUUAUGAUCUGUGAUGAAUGACAUUGACACUUGUUCAUCUUAAAUAAUGUUUUUAAGUCAUUAAAACAAGUCUAAACACUUCAAUGAAUCAACAUUGAAUGAAUCAAAAUAUAAUUUCAAAAUGUACAAAUAAUCUAAUGUUUGUAAAUGUACAUCUUUGUAGUAUAGGCUAUUAUUACUAAAGCAAAAUUUCAGGUGAACAAAAAAGUCCAUACCAGAGGUGGCCAACCUUGCUCCACUCCCUGAUCUACUGGGUGAGCAGACUUCUAUUCCAGCCCAGCAAUAAUACACAGCAUUAUCAACUCAUUGGGUUUGCUAAGUUGAAUCAGGUGUGUUAGUGCUGGGCUGGAACAGAAGUCGGCACACUCAGCAUACCUCCAGAAGGACUGACCUGCUACAGUUGUAAUGCGUUUGUAGCCUACACUGUGUAUGACUUAACUGUAUUGUUGUAUACAACAUUUGCUAACAUAAGUACACAUACAAUCCAUGGCAUACAAGGAUGUGCCUGCAGUCUCUUGGGACAUUCACUGGGACCUCUUCAUCUGAAGACAGACUUUCGCAGCUCUCCAUAUCUGAGGACAGACAUCACAAAACAGGCUUAAUUUCAUUACAAUUAGACAGCCCUGGCUACUAUCUCUCUCGGUCUUCAUAGUUUUCCUCUCUAGGGACUAAAACUGGAGAAUAUUUAAUGUCAUACCAGAACCUGCCCUAUCUAACUACACUGAACAAAAAUAUACAUUCAACAUGUAGUGUUGGUCCCAUGUUUCAUGAGCUGAAAUAAACGAUCCCAGAAAUGUUCCAUAUGCACAAAAAACUUUUCUCUCAAAUUCUGUACACAAAAUGGUUUACAUCCCUGUUAGUGAGCAUUUCUCCUUUGCCAAGAUAAUCCAUCCACCUUACAGUUGUGGCAUAUCAAAAAUAAUGAUCAUUACACAGGUGCACCUUGUGCUGGGGACAAUAAAGGGCCACAACACAAUGCCACAGAUGUCUCAAGUUGAGGGAAUGUCCACCAGGGAUGCUGCCAGAGAAUUUAAUGUUCAAUUCUCUACCAUAAGCCACCUGCAACAUCGUUUUAGAAAAUGUGGCAGUACGUCCAACCGGUCUCACAACCACAUGUAACCACGCCAGCCCAGGACCUCCACAUCCGGCUUCUUCACCUGCGGGAUCAUCUUGGGUCCAGCCACCCGUACUGCUGAUGAAACUGAGGAGUAUUUCUGUCUGUAAUAAAGUCCUUUUGUGGGGAAAACCUCAUUCUGAGUGGCUGGGCCUGGCUCACCCAUGGCUGCACCCCUGCCCAGGCAUGUGAAAUCAGUAGAUUAGGGCCUAAUUUAUUUAUUUCAAUCAACUGAUUUCCUUAUAUGAACUGAAACUUAGUACAAUUUUUGAAAUUAUUGCCUGUUGCGUUUAUAUUUUUGUUCAGAAUAGUACACCUACUCCCUUUUCUGGCAGCUGGAGUAGAAAACCCAUAACCCUUCCAUUGCCGUUAUCUACAAAUCCAUUUGGAGCAUGAGUUUUUAAUUCACAAUGAUAAAUAGGCCUACAUCAAGAUAACAUGCCAAUAUGAAGUUAUCUAGCUGAUGAUAUUUCACUUAGCUAUUGCAUGUAAGAUGGCUGGCUAGCUAGCUAGCUAACAAGCAGCUCAUUCGCCUACACCAGGGGUGUGAAACCUUUUUGCCAUCAUUGGCCAUUUGGAUAUUUGGGCCGUAUUAUUAAAAAUGUGCUAUUUUCUGCUUUAUUCAUGUUUUAAUGUGACUUUAAUCACUGACAUUGGUUUUAUAGUUUAUAUAUGACUUGUAUGAUGUUUAUUGUGUCCUUGAGUAAUUAGAAAAGUGCUAGUCCUAUUUAAAUAAAUGUUAGUAUUGUAAAUAAUGUUGUCAUUGUUAUUAUGAUUACUUGUUCAAACUCACCUCUAAUGCGAUGGCUGAAACUGCUUAUAUUUGACGAGGCAUUUGCUGUCAGUGAAGAUGACUCUACUCGCAGCUGGUUUUCCCAGGUUCCAGUCAGUCUUGAGCGGAAUCGAGUCUUUGCAAGAGUCCGUUUGGAAAAUAACUGCUCACAGCAGUAGGUCGUCCAUAACACAGAUGCACAUUUAAGUGCAUGGCUUCUCAGAACAGGAAAAUGCUCCGCGCUAACGUACAUUUUGUAGAACUCAAUGAGAGGGAGGUUGUUGUACCUGGCUUCGAGCUCGUCAUUGUUAUGCAGCUCAAUGACUUCGUGUUGUAGGCCAUCCGGCACAUCCGCUGGUUCGACGUUAAACGGGGCUGCAAAUGUGUUCAACUCCAGUUGUUUACUUUUCACAUCCUUAAACCGUUCACAAAAUGCCUUCGCGAGCUUUCCACUCACCGGUAUAUUCCGACGUAAUCUCAGGCUCUUGUCCUUGCAGAGUAGGUAAAUGUACAGUGUUACCCCUUUCUAGUUGGACUUGCCACAGCUUUAAUUUUGAAGCUGGUUCGGCACAUAGAGCUUGACGUUCAAGUCAGACAGAUACUUGGUUAUGUUGGGUUUUAUUUCACUUAUUAGAUGUGAUGCAUUACCAUUUACAGUAGAUGUAGGCCUAAGUAUGAACGGACUGUAAUGCACUAAGAGGUUUAUAUUGUAUUAACAUAGAUUGAGCAACAUAUAAUAGACAUGACUAACUGGAGGGUUGCUGGCUAGUAGGAGUGUAGGCGGAGUAGACUCGUGACACACACACACACAAUGCCUGGUUGUGGGGCCGCUCAAGGACAGGUGUACGGGAGGGGCUGGUAGAAUGGAAGAUAGCUGUAGCACAAAAGCAGAAACUGUCCUAACUGUAGCAUAAAAACAGGCACUGUCCUUGGGUGUCUGACUCUCGGGUACACACAUGAAGAUAAGCUAGAAGACAACUAUGCUUGGCAACAAAGAUGCGUCUAGUGGCUGGGACCAGCCUGCACGCCAACGAUAGGCUGGAGUAAGUUUAAACCACGCUCAUCCUCCCUCUGACAGGCCAGCAGUGAGCGGGAACUAUCUCUGUCAGAGUAUUUAAUGAAAAGCAAAGGAUGUGUCACUCAGUUCUCUGUUUGCCCUGCGAGGUGUUACAGUGAACCCGUAUAUACGAAGAUUGCAUUUACCAUUUAUUCUGCUUGACUAAUUCUAUUAAUAAACAGCUGAAAAUAUAUUCAGUAGCCUAGUGUUAAAUUUGGUUCUGAUACCAGAAUUGAAUUGACGCAGCCCCAACAGUAUGUCCACCAUGAAGACCAAAUCACACAUCCACUUGUCAUCACUCAGUUCCGCGACAGGUUUCCCCUUCAUCUCCAUGAAUUGUUUUACUUCAUCCUUCAGUCACUGCUCAACCAUCGCACCUCACAGUGGUAAACCAGAUCACCAUACUCCGAUUCAAGCUCACUCAAUAGCUCCAUAAAUUGGCGGUUGUUCAGCCCUUUGCUUUUGAUAAAAUUGAUGGUCGACACUACAGUUGCCAUUACGUUGUUCGGCUUCAGGGACCGUGCACACAGACUUUCUUGAAGUAUGAUGCAGUUACAUACAAUUACAUCACUUGGAUCAAGACUGAGACAACUCAUUUAUUUUUUCACUAAUACGGUUAAGCCCUUUUUCAAGCCAACCACGGCUGGCGCUCCAUCUGUAGUAAGGCCACUUAAUUUUUCAAACCGUAGCUCAAAUUUGCUCACUGCCGAGACAAGUCUCUCAAACAAGUUUCCUGCCUCACACAGGAAGCGGCGCAGGUCCUAAUCCAGGCACUUGUCAUCUCCCGUCUGGAUUACUGCAACUCGCUGUUGGCUGGGCUCCCUGCCUGUGCCAUUAAACCCCUACAACUCAUCCAGAACGCCGCAGCCCGUCUGGUGUUCAACCUUCCCAAGUUCUCUCACGUCACCCCGCUCCUCCGCUCUCUCCACUGGCUUCCAGUUGAAGCUCGCAUCAGCUACAAGACCAUGGUGAUUGCCUACGGAGCUGUGAAGGGAACGGCACCUCCAUACCUUCAGGCUCUGAUCAGGCCCUACACCCAAACAAGGGCACUGCGUUCAUCCACCACUGGCCUGCUCGCCCCCCUACCUCUGAGGAAGCACAGUUCCC